UAAAAUGUGCUAUGAUAGGUUAGUAAGACAUAAAAGAUAUUUCGGAAAAAAAUAUUUAAAUGAAGUUUAAAACAGAAGAGUUUUUUACGCGAAACUUAGUGCUCUACAAUUUAUUUUAGCGUCGAGUUUUAAGCGAGAAUCUUAUGCUUUCUCCCAAUCGUCCGAUCGCUCGCUCUAUGGCUUCAUGUCCAUCGAUUUAAGAGUAGGAAUGGACCGCCUACGAUGAAAUGUUGCAAGUGGACGUUGGACGUAGCUGCCGACAAGAUCUUACUGAUGGUGGAUCAAAAUUGCAACACAUCUGCAAAGUUGUUCAACUCCAAUACCCGCAGGGGGGAAGCAGUGGAUAGGGCGGCGGAUUUUGAAUAUCAAUUGGAAAGACAGAAAAACAGUAGGUACUAGUAAGAGUU